rnacentral:rRNA from 1 species
GACGAACGCUGGCGGCGUGCUUAACACAUGCAAGUCGAACGGAAAGGCCCUGCUUUUGUGGGGUGCUCGAGUGGCGAACGGGUGAGUAACACGUGAGUAACCUGCCCUUGACUUUGGGAUAACUUCAGGAAACUGGGGCUAAUACCGGAUAGGAGCUCCUGCUGCAUGGUGGGGGUUGGAAAGUUUCGGCGGUUGGGGAUGGACUCGCGGCUUAUCAGCUUGUUGGUGGGGUAGUGGCUUACCAAGGCUUUGAAGGGUAGGCCGCCUGAGAGGGUGACCGGCCACAAUGGGACUGAGAUACGGCCCAGACUCCUACGGGAGGCAGCAGUGGGGAAUAUUGCACAAUGGGCGGAAGCCUGAUGCAGCAGCGCCGCGUGCGGGAUGACGGCCUUCGGGUUGUAAACCGCUUUCGCCUGUGACGAAGCGUGAGUGACGGUAAUGGGUAAAGAAGCACCGGCUAACUACGUG